AGAACGAACGCUGGCGGCAUGCCUAACACAUGCAAGUCGAACGAGACCUUCGGGUCUAGUGGCGCACGGGUGCGUAACGCGUGGGAAUCUGCCCUUGGGUUCGGGAUAACAGUUGGAAACGACUGCUAAUACCGGAUAAUGACUUCGGUCCAAAGAUUUAUUGCCCAGGGAUGAGCCCGCGUAGGAUUAGCUAGUUGGUGAGGUAAAGGCUCACCAAGGCGACGAUCCUUAGCUGGUCUGAGAGGAUGAUCAGCCACACUGGGACUGAGACACGGCCCAGACUCCUACGGGAGGCAGCAGUGGGGAAUAUUGGACAAUGGGCGAAAGCCUGAUCCAGCAAUGCGCGUGAGUGAUGAAGGCCUUAGGUUGUAAAGCUCUUUUACCCGGGAUGAUAAUGACAGUACCGGGAGAAUAAGCCCCGGCUAACCUCCGCGCCAGCAGCCGC
rnacentral:rRNA from 1 species